rnacentral:rRNA from 1 species
AUUGAACGCUGGCGGCAGGCCUAACACAUGCAAGUCGAACGAGUGGCGGACGGGUGAGUAAUGUCUGAGAAACUGCCUUAGGGAGGGGGAUAUCUACUGGAAGCUGUCGCUUACCCCGCAUACCCUCAGAUGCGCCCAGAUGGGAGUAGCUAGUUUGUGGGGUAACGGCUCACCAAGGCGACGAUCCCUAGCUGGUCUGAGAGGAUGACCAGCCACACUGGAACUGAGACACGGUCCAGACUCCUACGGGAGGCAGCAGUGGGGAAUAUUGCACAAUGGGCGCAAGCCUGAUGCAGCCAUGCCGCGUGUAUGAAGAAGGCCUUCGGGUUGUAAAGUACUUUCAGCGGGGAGGCGUUACCCGCAGAAGAAGCACCGGCUAACUCCGUGCCAGCAGCCGCGGUAAUAC